AACGAACGCUGGCGGCGCGCUUAACACAUGCAAGUCGAACGAGAAGGCGUAGCAAUACGCUUGUACAGUGGCGAACGGGUGAGUAACACGUGGGUGACCUACCCUCGAGUGGGGAAUAACCCGCCGAAAGGCGGGCUAAUGCCGCGUACGCUUCCAGGUUUGCGGAUCUGGGAGGAAAGCCAUGCCGUGGGCAUGGCGCUCAAGGAUGGGCUCACGUCCUAUCAGCUUGUUGGUAGGGUAACGGCCUACCAAGGCAACGACGGGUAGCUGGUCUGAGAGGACGAUCAGCCACACUGGCACUGCGACACGGGCCAGACUCCUACGGGAGGCAGCAGUGAGGAAUAUUGCGCAAUGGGCGAAAGCCUGACGCAGCGACGCCGCGUGGGGGAUGAAGGUCUUCGGAUUGUAAACCCCUUUCGGGAGGGAAGAUGGGACGGGCAACCGUUCGGACGGUACCUCCAGAAGCAGCCACGGCUAACUUCGUGCCAGCCGCCGCAGUAA
rnacentral:rRNA from 1 species